AUUGAACGCUGGCGGCAUGCUUUACACAUGCAAGUCGAACGGGGUGAAGGGGCAACUCUUCAUUCAGUGGCGAACGGGUGAGUAAUGCAUCGGAACGUACCUCGUAGUGGGGGAUAACUCGGCGAAAGCCGUGCUAAUACCGCAUAUGCUCUACGGAGGAAAGCAGGGGACCUGAAAGGGCCUUGUGCUAUGGGAGCGGCCGAUGUCCGAUUAGCUAGUUGGUGGGGAAUGGCCUACCAAGGCGACGAUCGGUAGCUGGUCUGAGAGGAUGAUCAGCCACACUGGGACUGAGACACGGCCCAGACUCCUACGGGAGGCAGCAGUGGGGAAUUUUGGACAAUGGGGGCAACCCUGAUCCAGCCAUGCCGCGUGCGGGAAGAAGGCCU
rnacentral:rRNA from 1 species